UACGUAGGUGGCAAGCGUUGUCCGGAAUUAUUGGGCGUAAAGCGCGCGCAGGCGGUUCCUUGAGUCUGAUGUGAAAGCCCCCGGCUCAACCGGGGAGGGUCAUUGGAAACUGGGGAACUUGAGUGCAGAAGAGGAUAGUGGAAUUCCAAGUGUAGCGGUGAAAUGCGUAGAGAUUUGGAGGAACACCAGUGGCGAAGGCGACUGUCUGGUCUGUAACUGACACUGAGGCGCGAAAGCGUGGGGAGCAAACAGG
rnacentral:rRNA from 1 species